GAUUAAAGAUCCCUAGGAGGAUCGGCGGCGGUGGGUGUAGCCCUAGGGAAGGGAGUUAGGGUGUCAGAGGAAGAGCCUAGGUUGCGUAGGAGGAUGGAAGAGGAGGAGCAAAAGCCGUCGUUGGGUUGGUCGUGAGCUCCGGAGGGGAGCUAGGUUUAGGAGGGGUUGGGAGAGGGAGCAAAACGCACGAACUGGUUAGCCAGCGGGCUCGGGGCACGAGGUAGGGUGGAGCAGCCGACUGCCAGCCGCUGGUGCUCAAUUCGCGGGCGCGGGACAGAGGAAAAGGAGGGGCACGAAGAGAGAGAGUGUAGAGAGCCAGAGUAAAAGCGGUCCCUUGCCUUCCUUCGGCGGUACCGGACCCGAGUUGGAGCUCUAGGGUAGCAGUGGCAGCAGAUGUCGAUGACGGGGCGCCAAAACGGGCGACCAGCGGGCUGUGGGGAGCGGCCUCGGUGGUACCUGCGGUUCGGCGGUCAGAGGAGACGCUGGAACGCAAGGACCGGCCUAGGGCGGCCGACCCGGAGCAGGGGCCGGUGGUCGUUGGAGAAACCUCGGGCAACGCGGCGGCGCCAGGGGGCAGCAGCAGCAAGGAGUUCGUUGUCAGCGUGGCAAGUGGAGGACGGCGCAGGUGAGGCAGGGGAUGGAGCGCGGAGGAGGGCUCAUCCUCGAGGGUACCGACGGCGGCGGGAGCACCGAUGGGGCGUCCUCGAGGGGCGGUGGCCUAGCCCAGCGGAGGCGGGCCUAGGACGGCGAACGGCCUCAGGGUGGACGCAAGCGGAGCGGACUGACACGAGAGGCGAGGCUCGCUGUUCUGCUCUGCUGUUCGCGAGCGCAACUGGCGAAGGAGAGGUGCGCGGACCAGGUGGAGGGCAAGCGGGCAACUGGCGACGGGGACGAGCAGAACUAAGGCGCUCUGACUUGGCCGGAGGAGCACGGGCGCACCCGGCGUAGGAGGUCGUUCCGGACCGAGGCCGGUCGGAGAGGUGGCUUGCCCGGUCCGGGUACAAGGCUGUUGCAGCGCAAACACUCCUAGGCAAGCUGAUACAGGCAAAUAGAAGAAGUACCUGAGCAAGAAGAAGGAACGCCCUAGAGUCCGUUCUACUGGUAUGGGAACUUUAGUGAAAAUAGAAACGAACGAUCAACGAGCUAGAUAACGAUACGGCGCUAUGGAUGGUGAACGAUAUAGUACGGAGGGUAUAACGGUACAGUGGGAAAUUCGGUGGUCAAGGAUCGUUUGGCAACAAACAGAUACAAUGGCGAAACGAGUCGGGGAGAAUAUCACAACGAUCAACGUCCACUUCGACUUCAAACAAGGUACAACCUUGUACCAAUAACAACCCUAUAGUAAUAAUAGAGAAUAAAUGAAAUUACGUGGAUAUAUGAACCAUUUCCCACCUUCCGAGCCGGGAUACGGACCACAAAACAAGGUGAGAACGGCGGGAUCAAAGGCAGUAUGGCCACAAUACAAGGAACUAAAACGCAAGGAAUGUGCCAACCCACAAUACCCCUGGGGAACUGUCAAGCGAAACUUAUUUUGAGGAGGUCGUUCCGGGUUGGAACCAAAAUGGUAAACGGAGUGGUGGUGGAUGGGAAGGGAGCCCAGCCGGUUGGACUCCCAGUAGAAAUAAAAUUCGGGGGGGGGGGAGCCCGGUCACGAACAGAUUCACAACCAGGCUUGAUCUCAGGAAACGUCGCGGUGGAGCCCCUUUGAACUCCCGACCAAAAUCAACAUGCUUCGCGAGUAGGCCACAACGGGACUCUUGCUCUAUACACGUCGAGGAUAGUCCUACAGCCGCGUAGCCCGCCAGAACGACCAGAACAAAAUGGUAACAGCUUUACAGAACAUUGGCCCUAAGGCUCUGACUAGCCCAGAAGGGCCCUCUUCCUUAUAGGAAGCAACUGGCACUCUCGAACACUACCCGAUUCAACCCUGUGGGGACGUCCCAAAACUUGAAAGCUUUCGGCACGGGCGCCAAUACCCUUCUACCCUUAAACAAUUAUAGGCCAACAUCUUUUGAACUGUGAAUUGAAUUAAUUUUACGUAGUUGGCGCACACAUCGGCACUAUCAGAGAAGAGCCGCCCCAGGUUCUUCACUUGUGCCAAGAACACAAUACGAACUUGCAUUCAUCAAAGUCCUAGUGAAGAACUAGUGAAGAUCAAGUGCUGGACGUAACGAAGAGAAGAGCGAGAAUAAACGCAUACAAUCGGUGGUAUAUACGAAUCACGAACGACGUCGAGGUGGAGUGAUGGGAAAGGAUGGGUAUUCGAAUUUAUCAGAACUAGA
rnacentral:rRNA from 1 species